rnacentral:rRNA from 1 species
UACGGGGGGGGCAAGCGUUGUCCGGAUUUAUUGGGCGUAAAGAGCGUGUAGGCGGCCAGGUAGGUCUGCUGUGAAAACUCGAGGCUCAACCUCGAGAUGUCGGCGGAAACCAUCUGGCUAGAGUCCGGAAGAGGAGAGUGGAAUUCCUGGUGUAGCGGUGAAAUGCGCAGAUAUCAGGAAGAACACCCGUGGCGAAGGCGGCUCUCUGGGACGGUACUGACGCUGAGACGCGAAAGCGUGGGGAGCGAACAGG